AAAGGUGCAUGAGUGGUGUUUGGUUUGUUACCGGUGGAUGGCUCUCUGCUUUUGCAACAACUUCCACCUGGCAUUCCUCUUCAGUUGUCGAUCAAGGUUGCGUUUCCUUGACCACUUUUGGUUUCCUGUGUUGCCUACCUAUGUGACGGUAUUGUUUGAUUGCAUCAGUCUUGUUUUAUCUUUGCGUCGUAUGUGGCGUGAGAUGAACCUUAAAGCAGUUUCCAUGAUCCACCUUGUUGAUGCACAUGCCUUGAUGCUGUGGCCCAUUGAAAUUUGCUUCGUCUUUUGGAUACAGAACAUGAUAUGGGCGAGGGUCUCAUGCGAUCCUUAUUUUUGUUUUGCCCUAGCUAAGCUUUUCAAAUACGAUUUUCCUAUCAUGUUUUACACGUGGGGGUAGGCUAUAUCGAAUAUGAAUGCUACCUGGUUGAUCCUGCCAGUAGUCAUAU
rnacentral:misc_RNA from 1 species